ACUGGAUAAUGGCAAACCUGUUGAAAAGCAGGGACGCAAAGCUAAGGGUCUACGGCACAUUUUGUGUCAUGACAGCCUGGUUAUCGAA
rnacentral:ncRNA from 1 species